rnacentral:sRNA from 1 species
GUCAGUAACCCAGCCCUAAAGGGACUGGGCUUGUAAGAGAAAUCAAGCAGGCCGUACUGACCAGACCACCCUGAGCAUAGUCGAAGGGUAGCCGUUAUUUGAGUCACGACACCCACCGAAUGCGUUGCCCCUUCGGGGUUCAGCAGUCGCUCAUGGGGGAAACCCCCAAGACCGCGCUGCUUCACUAGUUCCCUGCUCUGUCGCUUGUGAUUAAACAGUUCUAAGGUCACUGGAACAGUGUUGCAAGCUCAAGCAAGCUCUUAUAACAGGUCGUUCGCGCCAGCGUGCCGGAGGCAUCUAGCUAACAUUACCCCAGAAAUGGG